UAAAAGUCUGUAAGACUGCAGUGGAUCCUCACUCAGGAGAGAGGUUGGACUUGCUGUUGGUUGGAUUUAUUUUAAUCUAUCCUUAGCCUUCCCAGAGCAAACCCCUCAGUAAGAAUUUCUGAUUGGCCUGCUGUCUGUUUUUGUUUUGUUUUGUUUGCCCUUGGAAGUUGUCACAUGUUCUCCCUGACAACACGAUUUCUCAGUGUUCUAGGGCAGAAUCCUGUUCCAGACCACAUUUCCCACUUUGCUUAGUAUCUUCUAGAGGUAACGCAGACUGAGCUCUUUUCAAUUUCCAUAGGAGUUAGUAUCACCACACCCACCUCUAGAUAAACUCAAGCUCCCUGUUAUUCAGAUCUACUUUGAUUAAGCCCAGAGGUCUGGUUGCUUCAGCCUUCAGGCAGCCUGAAGAAUGGCCAAGUUCACUGAACUGCAGCUGUGACCUUUAUUGCCAUAGCCCUGGGCACAAUCUUCAAGCAGUCGCAUUUUAUGUGCCAGAUUGCUGGCCAAGCUUUUAAAGUACACUACAUAAUGUCACGGACCAUUUCAGCUGGAGUCCAGACACUCCUGGUAUAAACACAGCCACCAGCACGCAAAAUUUUCAGAGUACCUGGCUCUCCCCAGGAUGCCAAUUUGCUAGAGAAUCUGCUUGCAGCCUCCAUAUGAGAAGUCAAUUUGAAGCCUUAAGCAACAAAAACAACAAAAGCAGGUCCAAGGUUGAGAUAUUAUCUCAAGCAAUACUUGCUGCUGUAAAUAUUACUCUACAUGCUGGCUGCCCCUCCCUGUAAAAGUAAGUAUGCCAUUGUGGGAGUAACUUGUUUUGCCUUCACUAUAAAAUGAAUUUUUUUCACAGGAAUAUUUAUUCCCUAUUCCUGGUGUUUUCUUCCAUGGGCAUGGACGUCAAUUAGUGUAACUCUCCCAAGCCCGCCGCAUCCUCCUGCUACAACUUUCUUUAGUGACCCUGAAAAAAAAACUAGAAAAAAACAUUUCAAGUAAGAUACAUGGGGGGCCAUAUUGGUAAUUUUUUAAAACAUUAAAAUGAGGAAAAUCUAAUUUCAGACUGAAUUUCCUGUGCUUUAUUUCUUCAUUUCUCCCUAUUUUUAUCUCCUCCUACUAUUUCCUGGCUCUAGUUACAUGCUUAUUUCCAUAAUCUGUUGUUCACUCACUACUCCUUCAUUCAUCAAUUUUGCAAACAUUUAGUUAACUUCUACUUGACAAAUGAGUACAUAGCAUUCCAAGAUGACUAAAACAGUCUGGUGUAAGAGACAGACAAAUAUAUCGCUGGAUAAAAUGCAAUCAGAUAAGCACAGUGGCGAAGACGUGCACCGGGAGUUACGGAGGCAACAAAGUGCGACAUCUAAUCUAGCCAGGGGGAGUCAGAGAAAGCUUCUGGAAGGUGUAGAACCUGAGCUGCGUCUUAAAAGAUGAGUGAGCUAAGGAGCUCUGUUUACUAAUUAAACAUUCUUUCAUUGCUACUUUUAUCUCCA